ensembl:lncRNA
GGCUGCUGUGUGCCGAGGAGAUGCCUGCGCUCCCUGAGGCAGGGUCUGCUCUUCCUUUCCACACCCUGUGCCAGCGUGCUGCCCAGUGACAAAGGCAGCCAGACCUGGGUGUGCUGUAGCAGCUGUGACCUGCCCAUGUGGAUGCAUGUGGAAAAGCAGCUCGCCUGGGCUCAGGGGAGAGUGUGCGGGAGCCCCUGGAAAGCUGCUGGGGAAGAUGGCUUUCGAGAAGGUCUUGAGUGGAGGUGCUCAGGCCCUGAGGAAGAGGCUCUGGUCUGCAGAGGCCAGAUGAGGGAGGAGCAGGGUGGGACUUCGGGGAGGACCCCAGAGUGAGGUCUGGGCAGUAGGCUGCAGGGUGGGGCCCAGCUGCUGGGGAGGGGCACCAGCAUGGGUCUUGCUUCUGCAUCCCACCAGCCUCCUUGAUGCUUCGGGUGCAGCCCUGCAGCCCUCCCAGGGGGAUGUAGGGUGUGUACCUCAGAUGCCACUGGAUUCCCUGGGACAUCUCCCUCCCACCAGGCCCAGUGACCACCUUUUGCUUUUUCCCAGUGCUUAGUAACUGCCACGGAAGGUGUCGGCUGGCAGCCCGCAUUGUGGACACGCCCUGCAAUGAAAUGAACACAGACAUCUUCCUUGAGGAGAUUAACAAAGUUGGAAAAGAGCUGGGAAUCGCCCCAACCGUCAUCCGGGAUGAGGAGCUGAAGACGAGAGGAUUCGGAGGUGGGUGGGAGCUGCCACCCCAUGGGUCUGGGCCUCAGGCAGUGGCCAGGUAACUUGGGAGGCAAAGGCCCAGCGGGGCCUGUGGUGCACCUGUCCUCAACUUUAUCCUCCUUGUGACCUGAAAGAAAGCAGCCCUUGUCCCAGCGCAAGGCCAGAGCCUGGUAAGCUGACCGUCUCUGGAGGAGACAGCGGCAGCCGUCCAGGUUCUGAGGCAUAUUCUGGAAGCAGCCAGACCCACGUCCUUCCCCCGCUGCAGCCUCGUCAUGCCCUGCACACGCCAGCUCAGCAGGGCCUUUCUGUUCCUCGAAUACACAAGUUCAUGCCCAUGUCAGAGCUUCGCAUGGGUGGCUCGCUCCAUCCGGGAAUGCUUUUCCUCAAGGCGCUCAGAUGGCGUGAGCUGUCUUGUCCUGCAAGUCUCAGCCCCAAGGCCACCUUCUCAGGCCCUCCCUGAUGGCUUAGGACCGCUCCCACUGCUCAGGAACUACAAGGGAAGGACAGCUGUGGCGCGGCCACCUGGAGGCUUCCAGGCAGCCUGGGGACUGUCGCAGGCCUGGUCAUCUGUGGCUGUGAAAUAGAGGGACUGGCAGCUGCAGUGCGUGGCCCCUUCGGCACCUCUGCGGGGAUCUACGGCGUCGGCAAAGCGGCCCUGCACCCCCCGGCCCUGGCCAUCCUCAGCCACACCCCUGACGGAGCCACGCAGACCAUCGCAUGGGUGGGCAAGGGCAUCGUCUAUGACACCGGGGGCCUCAGCAUCAAGGGGAAGAAGUCGGGACUCACACAAUCUGGACAGGCACCCUUGAGAAGUGGUAGAAAUGAUUAAAAGGGAAGGAACACAGAGUCCAAGGAGGCAAAGGCAAAGGCAAAGAGUCGUGGCAAUACCAUGUCCCCGGGUUUCCAUGGAGAGAAUUCUGAGUGGUGGCCUCAAGAAGGUCCCCUGGAAGCUGAUGACCCCACAGAAGACGCAGGGAGCAAGUCCCCUGCAGAUGCCACUGGCGGUGGCCCUAGAAGGCCCACAUGGGGUGGCUGUCCGUGGGCUGUCACUGGAGCGCAGCACCUGAAGAGCAAGCACCAUUGUGGCCGCAGCGCUGUCUCUGCCUGCACCCUGCCAUGCAGCUCUUUGUCCUCGUGCCUCCCCUGUGUGAGGAGGCAGGGGACGAGGAGAGGGAGCUCAGAGCAGGCAUUGACAAGCUGGCAGCAGCCCGCAGGGCUCACGGAUGUGCCCCGUCGGUCCGAUGAUGUGUUAAAAUUUGAGUUAGUUACCAACGUUUAAGAACAGGAAGAAUUCUCACGGAAGACUGGAUUUCAGGCCUCUUGGGAACUCAGAGCGUUUGGAAACAUUGACUCCGCCUUGGCACCCUAGCGCGCUCUGCCAGGGCCAGGGCCGAGCGUGCAGCUGCAGGGGCCCAGCCUGCCUUCUCCAGCUUGGCUCUCGCCUCCCUGAUGUUGAGCCACCACCUCAGUUGCUGCUCAGGCUGUCAGCUGUGUUUGCAGAGUGCAUGAUCGUUUCUUAAAACCUCUCUCCUCUAAACUAAAUUAUUUUCAGGACUAAUCACAAAAAUGAAACUAAUAAAGGUUUUUAAAUAAUCCCAACAGCAAACAUUCUCUUUUAUUGAAUUCCAUGCAUAUUAUCAUGCCAGUAAAUUUUUUUUAAAAUCCACUACAAGUAUAGAAAGCAGCAAUGUAUUAACUCUUUAAAUAUUAAUGGAUUUUUAAAAUAGGAAAAAUAGCUUGGUCUGUUGGAAUGGACCGUGGCAUCAGUAUUUGUAUUUGGGCUUUGUCUUUCACAAGUUUGAGCAGUUAAUCGUCGUCACACAUUUAUGUCCAGCAGAGUUGUCAGGCUGUUUUCCCUCAUAGUUGG